rnacentral:rRNA from 1 species
CAAACAGGAUUAGAUACCCUGGUAGUCCACGCCCUAAACGAUGAUCACUAGAUAUUGGCGACAAACAGUCAGUGUCCAAGCGAAAGUGAUAAGUGAUCCACCUGGGGACUACGGCCGCAAGGUUAAAACUCAAAGGAAUUGACGGGGGCCCGCACAAGCGGAGGAGCAUGUGGUUUAAUUCGAUGGUACGCGAGGAACCUUACCUGGGUUAGAACGUAUGAGCGAUGCAGCUGAAAGGUUGCAGGCCUGCGAAGGAGUUCAUACGAGGUGCUGCAUGGUUGUCGUCAGCUCGUGCCGUGAGGUGUUUGGUUAAGUCCAGCAACGAGCGCAACCCCUACCUUUAGUUGCCAUCAGGUAAAGCUGGGGACACUAGAGGGACUGCCUGCGCAAGCAGUGAGGAAGGUGGGGAUGACGUCAAAUCAGCACGGCCCUUAUGUCCAGGGCUACACACGUGCUACAAUGGUAACUACAGAGGGCAGCGACUAGGCGACUAGGAGCGAAUCUCGAAAAGUUAUCGUAGUUCGGAUUGGAGUCUGCAACUCGACUCCAUGAAGAUGGAUUCGCUAGUAAUCGCGCAUCAGCAAUGGCGCGGUGAAUACGUUCCCGGGCCUUGUACACACCGCCCGUCAAGCCAUGGAAGUCGGGGGUACCUGAAGUUCGUGACCAUAACAGGAGCGACCUAGGGUAAACUCGAUGACUGGGGCUAAGUCGUAACAAGGUAGCCGUACCGGAAGGUGCGGCUG